AACGCUAGCUACAGGCUUAACACAUGCAAGUCGAGGGGCAGCAUGGUCUUAGCUUGCUAAGACUGAUGGCGACCGGCGCACGGGUGAGUAACACGUAUCCAACCUGCCGUCUACUCUUGGACAGCCUUCUGAAAGGAAGAUUAAUACAAGAUGGCAUCAUGAGUCCGCAUGUUCACAUGAUUAAAGGUAUUCCGGUAGACGAUGGGGAUGCGUUCCAUUAGAUAGUAGGCGGGGUAACGGCCCACCUAGUCUUCGAUGGAUAGGGGUUCUGAGAGGAAGGUCCCCCACAUUGGAACUGAGACACGGUCCAAACUCCUACGGGAGGCAGCAGUGAGGAAUAUUGGUCAAUGGGCGCAAGCCUGAACCAGCCAAGUAGCGUGCAGGACGACGGCCCUAUGGGUUGUAAACUGCUUUUUCGCGGGGAUAAAGAGGGGGAUGUGUCCCCCGUUGCAGGUACCGCGUGAAUAAGGACCGGCUAAUUCCGUGCCAGCAGCCGCGGUAAUACGGAAGGUCCGGGCGUUAUCCGGAUUUAUUGGGUUUAAAGGGAGCGCAGGCCGUAUGGUAAGCGUGUUGUGAAAUGCCGUGGCUCAACCAUGGCACUGCAGCGCGAACUGCCGUACUUGAGUACGCUGGAGGUAGGCGGAAUUCGUGGUGUAGCGGUGAAAUGCUUAGAUAUCACGAAGAACUCCGAUUG
rnacentral:rRNA from 1 species